rnacentral:rRNA from 1 species
GACGAACGCUGGCGGCGUGCCUAAUACAUGCAAGUCGAGCGGAACUGGGGGAGCUUGCUCCUUCCAGUUUAGCGGCGGACGGGUGAGUAACACGUGGGCAACCUGCCCUGCAGAUCGGGAUAACUCCGGGAAACCGGUGCUAAUACCGAAUAGUUUGGCGCCUCUCCUGAGGCGCUACGGAAAGACGGUUUCGGCUGGCACUGCAGGAUGGGCCCGCGGCGCAUUAGCUAGUUGGUGGGGUAACGGCCCACCAAGGCGACGAUGCGUAGCCGACCUGAGAGGGUGACCGGUCACACUGGGACUGAGACACGGCCCAGACUCCUACGGGAGGCAGCAGUAGGGAAUCUUCCGCAAUGGACGCAAGUCUGACGGAGCAACGCCGCGUGAGUGACGAAGGUUUUCGGAUCGUAAAACUCUGUUGUGAGGGAAGAACACGUACCAACUAACUAUUGGUACCUUGACGGUACCUCACCAGAAAGCCACGGCUAACUACGUGCCAGCCGCCGCGGUAA